rnacentral:rRNA from 1 species
GAUGAACGCUGGCGGCGUGCUUAACACAUGCAAGUCGAACGAAGCACUUUAUUUGAUUUCCUUCGGGACUGAUUAUUUUGUGACUGAGUGGCGGACGGGUGAGUAACGCGUGGGUAACCUGCCUUGUACAGGGGGAUAACAGUUGGAAACGGCUGCUAAUACCGCAUAAGCGCACGGCAUCGCAUGAUGCAGUGUGAAAAACUCCGGUGGUAUAAGAUGGACCCGCGUUGGAUUAGCUAGUUGGUGAGGUAACGGCCCACCAAGGCGACGAUCCAUAGCCGACCUGAGAGGGUGACCGGCCACAUUGGGACUGAGACACGGCCCAAACUCCUACGGGAGGCAGCAGCGGGGAAUAUUGCACAAUGGGCGAAAGCCUGAUGCAGCGACGCCGCGUGAGCGAAGAAGUAUUUCGGUAUGUAAAGCUCUAUCAGCAGGGAAGAUAAUGACGGUACCUGACUAAGAAGCACCGGCUAAAUACGUG